AUGAACUGCAGUGCCUGCGUCCCCGUUGACCCUCGUCCACGCCAACGCGGGCCAGCCUCCACCGACGCCUCCCUCUGGCCCAGAUCCACAGCGCCCCGAGGGAGGCCCAGAUCUCGUCGGUGGCCAAUGUAUGCGGCAGCCGGCGACACACGGUGGGGAGAGAUGGUUUGGAGGGUGGCGCGUGGCGACUGGGGACGCACGGUGGGGAUAGAUGGUGGAGGAGGGUGGCACGCGCCUCGCCCAGGCCUCCUUCCACGCCGCAGCGGCGGAGUCCAAGCGCUCAUCAUGAGGACGCACGGGCGAGGAGGAUUUGGCGAGCUCCGGCGAGCUUCGACGCCGAUUCGUUUGGCUCCGGCGAGCUCAUCCCCCUCCUACAGAGGGCGUCUUUUAAAUCCUUGGCCCGACAUUUUUUUAACACUUGACGCAAUGUAA
rnacentral:rRNA from 1 species